AAAAGAAAACAGACAUCAAAUAAUAAAGGUUCAACUACAAAAUAACAAUUUUUAUUCUUCUCGUCUUUUUUUCAAUUAAAUUGUGAUAAUUUUUGAUAAAUUGUUUGAUUAUAUAAAUUGGAAAGGUCUAUCUUUCAUUUUUUCGUUUGUAAAAAUUGGCCGUCUCCUUGAUCUGGCACAAUGUUGUUUCUUGAAGAUUACCUAGAAAUGAUUGAACAUCUUCCUCAUGAAUUGAAGGAUCGUUUCACCGAGAUGAGAGAGAUGGAUAUGAAUGUUCACAAUGAAAGGGACGCCAUAGAAGAAAAAGUUAAAGUAUUUUUUAGUAAUGCCAAAAAAAUGAAAACUGAUCAAAGGGAUAGUGAAUUCAAUAAACUGAUACAAGAAUAUGAGAAGACAAUUGAAGAAGGCGAAGAAAAGAUGGAACUGGCUAAUCAAAUGUGUGAUCUCGUUGAAAAAUAUUUAAAAGGAUUGGACUCAGAGAUACAAAAAUUCAAAUUGGAAUUGGAGGCUGAUAACUCUGGUAUAACUGCAAUUCUCGAGAGAAGAUCUCUUGAGUUAGAUAAUCCUCCAAAUUCAAAUUUAAAUAACGUUAGAGAAAAACGCAAACAUUCACAUAAUGACUCCGUUCAAGGAGUUCCGAGUUCAGCGCGAAGUGGUGAUACAUCAUGCUCAGGUUCCAAUCAUGGAGUUCCGAGCAAUCUUAAUAAUUGGGCUAAUCAAGCUACGUUUACCAACUCAUUAUCAAAUUUGGUCAACAAUUCCAAUGUUAAUUCUAAUGGAAAUCCAUUACUGGCCAAUAGUUUAACUUCACCACACUCACCCUCAUUUUAUAAUCUUGCAGCUGGUAGUACUGCUAUAGCUGCUGCGGCCUCACAAGCCAUUGCGGCCACGCAGCAGAUGCAACAAGGAAGACGGACUGCCAGUCUCAAAGCCAGUUAUGAAGCAAUCAAUGCUGUUGGCUUACAAAAUAUCAGCUGUGAUUUCAAUUCCUUACGUGAAGGAACUCUACCGUCUUUCAAUUCUCAAGGAACUGGCGCAUUUUCCAAUGCUGCUGCAGUAGCGUCAGCUGCUGUUAGUGGGGUUGCUGCUAAUGUUCCUCCUAACUUAAUGUCUGCGGGUGUUGGUACAGGCGGCGAAGGAUCAACAGGAAUGUUCAAAGUAGCGAAACGAAGUCGCACCUCUAGUCAAUAUCAAGAUACAGACGAAUCUUCAGAAACUAUGCCUGUGGAUGAAAAUGGGACGCCAGUGGACUGGAGUUGUGAUCCAAACGAACCUCGCUAUUGUCUUUGUAAUCAAAUUUCUUAUGGUUCAAUGGUUGCCUGUGAUAAUGAAGAAUGUCAAUUUGAAUGGUUUCACUAUGGUUGUGUGGGUAUAACUCAACCGCCAAAAGGAAAGUGGUACUGUCCGCCCUGUACUAAUCAAAUGAAGCGAAAAAAUCGCAAAGAAAAAGUAUGAAACUCAUAAAAUGAACUCAACCCCAAAUCAACCAAAUAUCUAACUAUAGAGACACUCACUCACACGGCUUUGUAGACGGUAUAAAUUGCACAGAAAUUUAUCCUAUUUUUUGGAUGGCGCAAAAGUUGAAAAGGAGGUUAUGGUAAUGAUACCUUUAAAAAUGUCGGGUAAAGAGAUUAUUCAAAUGAUUAUUUUCUUGAUGAUUGGAUGACAAAUUUUGUUCGUAUUGAUUAUAUCAAAACUUUAACAAAAUCAAAUUAAGAAUAAUAGUUUAACAACAAAA